GAGGGCGAUUCGGCUAUAAUGAUUGAGUGAAUCAGGUGUGAGCAUGUCAGGCCAGAAUUAUACUCAUUAGUUUGGAAUGUUUACAAUCUAUUGGAGGAUCUCGACUCAUUUGUAGUCAUAUGUGUACUUCGAGAGGUGAACAGUGCGAGACCUCGUCGGCCCUUGAAUAUACGUUAGCUUUUGGAUAAAGUUUUGGAAAGAAUACUGAAGGAAUAAAUAACGUUGUUAGAGGGUGAUUUGGCCACAUUGAUUAAGUGGAUCAGGUAUGGGCAUCUAGGCCAGAUCUACACCCACUAGUCUGCAUGUUUGCCAUCUGUUGGAGGGUCUCG
rnacentral:lncRNA from 1 species